ACCGCCAUCGCUGGUGAUGGUACUACACUCUCCUGCACAACAGAGGGCUCCACCUGCGAGCUGGACGGGCUACAGUGUGGACAACAAUACACUGUUGCCGUGACAGCAACCAGUCGCAACUGUAUCGGAACUACCAGCGCUUCACAGACAGUCCAGACAGUGCCAUGUGUUCCCUCCAGUGUGCAUGGGGUUGUGGACUGUGCCUCUAACACCCUGCAGGCCUCUUGGGAUGCCACGGAUGGGGCUCACGCUUACAUUUCCACAGUGACUGGGCCAGACAGUUACACCUCGACGUGCUCUACCGCCAACCUGACCUGUUUCUUCACCGGCCUGAAGUGUGCCAAGGAGUACAGCGUCAGCGUGGUUGCCAAAGACGACCAGUGCAACAGCUCUGUCAGCGUUGACGUCUCAGUGGCAACAGCCCCAUGUGACCCAGAAAACGUGGCUUCCCUGCUGCAGUGCAGCUCAGGCGUGGUGACGGUGUCCUGGGAGGCUAGUGCUGGAGCCACUGGAUACACUGCCUCGGCACAGGAGGAC